CCCAUGACCAUGAGAUAAACAACUAGUACCACCUUUGGGCUAAAAACAGCUGGAAAGCAGAAUCCUGUGAGUCUGAGCCGAAGCACCGCCGAUGUCCAUAGCAUAAAAGGCAGACCACAAUUUUUAAUUAAAUAAAUAACUAGUAUGAAGUCUGAAUUUUCUGUGUACCACUACCGCUGCAAUUCAUCCAAAUCCAAUCACCCAUAAAUAAUCUCCUUCCUUCCGGUACAAUAUCAAGACAUUUCCCCCGACCGCAACCCCUUCUUCAUCUAGUUUUUCUUCUAAUCUAAUCGCACGGUGCUCCAAUUGCCUGUUACUUACGAUGCCUGCCAACUCUUGCUCUACUUAGCCUCUCUCUUAGAUUCCAUACGUGCUCCUCCCAGCAUUAUAACCUCGAAAAAGCCCGGCAAAAGCACUGUGCUUUGCAAUGUGCAUCUCCCUCUCUCCAAUCACCCCCCAACACACAGCUCCUUGAAUUUGCAGAUUUACGAGCUGCAUUUUUCUUCUUCCGUGUUUAGCUCCUUGACUCGAAAGGAGCAAUAUUUCCUAAUCACAACUGUGCACUAGUCAUAAAUGACCAUUUUCUUUUAAACCUUCUCUGUCUUUAUUAAUCAUGUACUAGGUUACGCUUGCUGCUACAUUACAAUUUACAAACGCAUCUGCAAGAUUCAAGCUUUGGCUUUUUCUCUCUCAAGAUUUGGGGAGCAGAGUUAAGCAAAGAUGAAGCUUUUUUGUGUUGGGGUUUUUACGGCAUUUGUUUUUUGCAAAGUGGUUACUGGGUUCUUAGAUUUUAAUGAAACAGAGCUGUCUUUUAUUGAGGCUUACGAAUAUGGAGUCUCCAAACUCAAUUACAAUCCUCUCAUGGUUGGACUCACUCUUAUUCCAAGUGCGGGCGCUAAAGGAGCUGUCUGCCUGGAUGGAACCUUGCCAGGUUAUCAUUGGCAUCGUGGAUAUGGAUCAGGAGCAAAUAGCUGGCUCAUUCAGUUGGAGGGAGGAGGAUGGUGCAAUAACAUUAGAACUUGUGUCUACCGCAAAAAAACCCGACGUGGAUCAUCCACAUACAUGGAAAAGCAGAUACCAUUCACUGGAAUAUUGAGUGAAAAAGCUGAAGAAAAUCCUGACUUUUUCAAUUGGAACAGAGUAAAGCUUCGUUAUUGUGAUGGUGCCUCUUUUACCGGGGACAGCGAAAAUAAGGCUGCACAGCUGCAAUUUAGAGGACAACGUAUAUGGUUAGCUGCAAUGGAAGAUUUAAUGUCAAAAGGAAUGCGCUAUGCAAAGCAGGCUCUUCUUUCUGGCUGUUCUGCUGGGGGUUUGGCAGCAAUUUUACACUGUGACGAGUUCAGGAACUUGUUUCCAAGAACUACUAAAGUUAAGUGCCUUAGUGAUGCUGGUCUAUUCCUUGAUGCGAUUGAUGUGUCUGGUAGUCACACGCUUAGAAGUUUAUACAGUGGCGUGGUCGGCUUACAGGGUGUGCAACAUAACCUUCCUCGUAUAUGCACCAACCACCUCGAUCCCACUUCGUGUUUCUUUCCUCAAAAUCUAAUCAGCCACAUCCAAACUCCAAUGUUUAUUCUUAAUGCAGCUUAUGAUUCAUGGCAGAUACAAUCCAGUAUAGCUCCACCAUCGGCAGAUCCGCAUGGUUAUUGGCAUGAUUGCAGACUGAACCAUGCAAAAUGUUCUGCAUCUCAAAUCAGGUUUUUACAAGGCUUCCGAACACAGAUGCUUAAUGCUAUAAAAGGGUUCUCAAUGUCUAGACAGAAUGGAUUAUUUAUAAAUUCAUGUUUUGCUCACUGCCAAACAGAGAGGCAAGACACAUGGUUUGCUGAUGAUUCUCCUGAAAUUAGAAACAAGCCAAUUGCGAUAGCUGUUGGAGAUUGGUAUUUUGACAGAGCAGCCGUGAGGUCCAUUGAUUGUCCGUACCCUUGUGACAAGACUUGCCACAAUCUGGUUUUUAGAUGAGCCAAUGAUAAAUAUUAGUUGGCUCAUAUACAUGGUGAGGUUAGACGUAGCAGGUAUCUUCCUAUCAGCAAUUCAAUGGAAAUUGGAUAGAAGACAAUAAAGAGGAAGGUUGCUGAGAAAUGCAAUGCAAUCAGCAAAUCUUCUGCGAUGUUUUCUAAGCAAAAUUGCAUUGCUCAAAUUUUUUCACCCCUCCGCCCAAGGUUAACCUUUUCCAUCUUAAAAAGAAACCCAAAGCAAAGAUUCGGAAAUUAUUGAAUUUGUUAGAACAACAGAGUUUCAGGAGCCUGAUUGGGAUAGGAAUUUGCAAAAGCGUCGUCUCCUCACCAUCUCGGUGUCUUCAUGCGUUUGAAAUGCAUUACUUUUUUGUGUUCUUCCUGCACUUAUGAUUGUAGGGCCCCA